rnacentral:rRNA from 1 species
UGCGGCCAUAUCUACCAGAAAGCACCGUUUCCCGUCCGAUCAACUGUAGUUAAGCUGGUAAGAGCCUGACCGAAUAGUGU